rnacentral:rRNA from 1 species
AAGAACUUACCAGGUCUUGACAUACCAUUGACAGGCGCAGUAGAUGUGCUCUCCUUCGGGCAAUGGAUACAGGUGGUGCAUGGUUGUCGUCAGCUCGUGCCGUGAGGUGUUGGGUUAAGUCCCGCAACGAGCGCAACCCUCAUUGUUAGUUACUACCAUUCAGUUGAGGACUCUAAUGAGACUGCCAACGAUAAGUUGGAGGAAGGUGGGGAUGACGUCAAAUCAUCAUGCCCUUUAUGACCUGGGCUACAAACGUACUACAAUGGCCAAUACAAAGAGAUGCGAAGCGGUGACGUGGAGCGAACCUCAGAAAGUUGGUCUCAGUUCAGAUUGAAGUCUGCAACUCGACUUCAUGAAGGCGGAAUCGCUAGUAAUCGCGGGUCAGCAGACCGCGGUGAAUACGUUCCCGGGUUUU